GAUGAAGAACGUAGCGAAAUGCGUUACGUAAUGUGAAUUGCAGAAUUCAGUGAAUCAUCGAGUCUUUGAACGCACAUUGCGCCCCCUGGUAUUCCGGGGGGCAUGCCUGUCCGAGCGUCAUUGCUGCCCUCAAGCACGGCUUGUGUGUUGGGCCUCCGUCCUCCUCCCGGGGGACGGGCCCGAAAGGCAGCGGCGGCACCGCGUCCGGUCCUCGAGCGUAUGGGGCUUCGUCACCCGCUCUUGUAGGCCCGGCCGGCGCUUGCCGACACAUCAAUCUUUUUUCCAGGUUGACCUCGGAUCAGGUAGGGAUACCCGCUGAACUUAAGCAUAUCAAUAAGCGGAGGA
rnacentral:misc_RNA from 1 species